rnacentral:rRNA from 1 species
AACGAACGCUGGCGGCAUGCCUAACACAUGCAAGUCGAACGAAGUCUUCGGACUUAGUGGCGCACGGGUGCGUAACGCGUGGGAAUCUGCCCUUGGGUGCGGAAUAACUUCUCGAAAGGGAUGCUAAUACCGCAUAAUGUCGUAAGACCAAAGAUUUAUCGCCCAAGGAUGAGCCCGCGUAAGAUUAGCUAGUUGGUGGGGUAAAAAGCCUACCAAGGCGACGAUCUUUAGCUGGUCUGAGAGGAUGAUCAGCCACACUGGGACUGAGACACGGCCCCAGACUCCCUACGGGAGGCAACAGUGGGGAAUAUUGGACAAUGGCGAAAGCCUGAUCCAGCAAUGCCGCGUGAGU